CUCAUUUGGAAGGGAAAUCAUAGAAGCGUUCGGACGCAUGUCCAGAGAGCUCUCGUUCGGGAAGCGUCUUUCGUCGUAGUUUUGGUGGUUUUGGUGCCCCGCAGUGCUGUGACUGUAUUUCAUGCCUUACUAGUGGUAUCUGGACCUGUUUCUGUGUGUGUACCUUGGAAGACCGAAAGCUGUUGGAUUUCGUGAAUUGAAGAUGCCUACAAGAAAUAUAUCUUAGAGCUGUCAUCUAGCAUGAUCUGUAAAGGUGUUGAAGACGCUGUACAUCAGGCAAGAGUGUGAUUGUUCAACAGACAUGUCACAGGGAUGAUGAACGAUAUCAAUAAAAAAUAAAAAAUAGAA